rnacentral:rRNA from 1 species
CAAUAAGCGGAGGAAAAGAAACCAACAGGGAUUGCCCCAGUAACGGCGAGUGAAGCGGCAACAGCUCAAAUUUGAAAUCUGGCCCUCGGGUCCGAGUUGUAAUUUGCAGAGGAUGCUUUUGGUGAGGUGCCUUCCGAGUUCCUGGAACGGGACGCCAUAGAGGGUGAGAGCCCCGUCUGGUCGGACACCAAACCUGUGUAAAGCUCCUUCGACGAGUCGAGUAGUUUGGGAAUGCUGCUCUAAAUGGGAGGUAUAUGUCUUCUAAAGCUAAAUACCGGCCAG